AGGGUUCGAUUCUGGCUCAGGAUGAACGCUGGCGGCGUGCUUAACACAUGCAAGUCGAACGGGAUCCAUCAGGCUUUGCUUGGUGGUGAGAGUGGCGAACGGGUGAGUAAUGCGUGACCGACCUGCCCCAUGCACCGGAAUAGCUCCUGGAAACGGGUGGUAAUGCCGGAUGCUCCAUCACAUCGCAUGGUGUGUUGGGAAAGCCUUUGCGGCAUGGGAUGGGGUCGCGUCCUAUCAGCUUGAUGGCGGGGUAACGGCCCACCAUGGCUUCGACGGGUAGCCGGCCUGAGAGGGCGACCGGCCACAUUGGGACUGAGAUACGGCCCAGACUCCUACGGGAGGCAGCAGUGGGGAAUAUUGCACAAUGGGCGCAAGCCUGAUGCAGCGACGCCGCGUGAGGGAUGGAGGCCUUCGGGUUGUAAACCUCUUUUGUUAGGGAGCAAGGCACUUUGUGUUGAGUGUACCUUUCGAAUAAGCACCGGCUAACUACGUGCCAGCAGCCGCGGUAAUACGUAGGGUGCAAGCGUUAUCCGGAAUUAUUGGGCGUAAAGGGCUCGUAGGCGGUUCGUCGCGUCCGGUGUGAAAGUCCAUCGCUUAACGGUGGAUCCGCGCCGGGUACGGGCGGGCUUGAGUGCGGUAGGGGAGACUGGAAUUCCCGGUGUAACGGUGGAAUGUGUAGAUAUCGGGAAGAACACCAAUGGCGAAGGCAGGUCUCUGGGCCGUUACUGACGCUGAGGAGCGAAAGCGUGGGGAGCGAACAGGAUUAGAUACCCUGGUAGUCCACGCCGUAAACGGUGNNUGCUAAGUGU
rnacentral:rRNA from 1 species